rnacentral:rRNA from 1 species
GCCCCGAAAGGGGCAAGUAGAGUGGCAAACGGGUGAGUAACACGUGGGUGACCUGCCUUCGAGCGGGGGAUAACGUCCCGAAAGGGACGCUAAUACCGCAUAACAUCCUGCCUUUGAAGAGGUGGAGAUCAAAGCUGGGGAUCGCAAGACCCGGCACUUGAAGAGGGGCCCGCGUCUGAUUAGCUAGUUGGUGGGGUAAUGGCCUACCAAGGCAACGAUCAGUAUCCGGCCUGAGAGGGCGGACGGACACACUGGGACUGAGACACGGCCCAGACUCCUACGGGAGGCAGCAGUGGGGAAUUGUUCGCAAUGGGCGCAAGCCUGACGACGCAACGCCGCGUGGAGGAUGAAGAUUUUCGGAUCGUAAACUCCUGUCGAAUGGGACGAACAGAUUGCGGGUUAACAGCCCGUAGUCCUGACGGUACCGUUAAAGGAAACCCCGGCUAACUCCGUGCCAGCAGCCGCGGUAAUACGGGGGGGGUAAGCGUUGUUCGGAAUUACUGGGCGUAAAGGGCUCGUAGGCGGCCAACUAAGUCAUACGUGAAAUCCCUCAGCUUAACUGGGGAACUGCGUGUGAUACUGGAUGGCUUGGAUUUGGGAGAGGGAUGCGGAAUUCCAGGUGUAGCGGUGAAAUGCGUAGAUAUCUGGAGGAACACCGGUGGCGAAGGCGGCAUCCUGGACCAAUAUUGACGCUGAGGAGCGAAAGCCAGGGGAGCAAACGGGAUUAGAUACCCCGGUAGUCCUGGCCCUAAACGAUGAAUGCUUGGUGUAGCGGGUAUCGAUCCCUGCUGUGCCGAAGCUAACGCAUUAAGCAUUCCGCCUGGGGAGUACGGUCGCAAGGCUG